UACCGACCUCUGCCGGGAACCGGGAAGGCGUAAGGAGGACGAAGAAUGGAACGUGAGGAGGGAAACACCAUCCACUGGGGUCUAGUGCCUCCGUACCGAAAUACACCGGUCCGCGUAGGUCCAUGUCUAUAGUUUAUUCGGGCGACAGAGAGCGGAAGAGUGGGACGCGAGGUUUGGUGCGGGGUAAAGGGGGAUUGGACGACUCCGGGUUAAAGUGGCGUCGCGUGUACAACCGCACCGGCGGCGGAAUAUACAGCACUGCGACAGAACGGACGGAGCGUUCCGCUCCACGCCGUACCGUUCUUUCGCUCCGUUCUUUCUCACCAACUCGUCUCGCAGUCGCGUGCGCGUCGCUAUUUUUCCUCCGAGUUUCGAGGGAUUACACACUCCUGCUCUCUUAUGUGGCCCAUCUCCUUUGUCUCCGUCAAGUGCCGCGGAUUCAUUCGCGAUUAUGCAGUGUGUCAAGCGUCAAAGAACAUCGAACCGCUUCCCGUUUCUGCUUUAACGCUUAAGAGAGACCAUUUUCUAUUAUGUCGUACAUAAUGGAAAAUGCGCCGCUUUUAUUUUGUCCGUUCAUUAUUCACUAUUUGUAUAAAAUGUCCGCAUUUACAUGGUAAAGAAGAUAUUUACUACCCGAAAAGAGAGAGAGACCAAAAAAAUCAAAGACAGUUGCUCCAAAUUUAUGAGAAGGUGGCAAAGUUUCGCAAACGAUGCGGCGUGAUCCACGGUGCAGACGGCGAGGGAUACGGCUUGGAAACUUUGUGCAAGAAAUUCGAUCUCAUCUCGCAACAUCGAUUCCAUCGAUCGCGUGGCGAUCGCGAUUGGUUAGCCAAUGGAUAGUAAAGAGAGGACGAUCGCCCUUCGUAUCAUCCUAUCGAUUCAGCCGAACAGUCCUGACAGGUGACAGCGGAAGAAGAAUAUCCCGGGGGCGCGUGUCGUGCGAGGCGUCGUCGUUUUAAUACAACUUUCGAUUGGCACCCUCGGACCGGACCUUCAGCGAAUCCGAUACCAGCAGCCGAAGACGAGGGGUAGUAAAUCAGUCGAGAGUGCAACUCGAGGGUUGGCCGCCCAGGACAACACGUACCUGCCAUCUAUAUUCGUGCACACCGUUCUCCAAAGCAGCCCCUCCUCGCACCCCCCCCCAGUAACUCGACGUCUCGACGCCGCAACCACUACCCUGUAACCGGCAUGAGGAGACCCUGCCUCUUGUAACCCCGUCCCUGUUCGUGUUACCCUUCCCGUUGGAGAGGCACGAUACACCUUGUCGUAGACUCUGAGAUUUAUACUCGCGCGAAAUCGAGUCCCGAUACCGAUCGUAUCUGACGCGAACGACGUCAACGGCGCCCGAUGCGUUUCCACGUUCCCACGUGCAAAAGCUUUAGCAUGACAUCGACAACGAGACGGUCCCUUUUGAGAGUUUGUUUCGAAUGGAUAAAAAAGUGAUCAAAACACUGACAACUCAUUACGUAUCCUUUCAGAUUUUUACAACUGCAAUAUCAUCGUUGCAUCAGUGACGCAAUCGAUAUUUCAACGCGCAGAAUUGCGUUUCACGUAGUAAUGCGUCGACCAUGAGCUCGCGAGCGAUGACUAUAUCGAGUGGUAUAAAAAGCACCUGUGUUUCGUCGCAUGCAAAAAAGGCAAAGGCAAAUUUUGUUAACGCCGUGGCACAUAACUUUCUGCGCACAAAAUUUAGCACAGCUUUCCAUUAACGCGAGCAAAGCGUACUUUCCUAAAAAGCGUAUCUGGCUCUCAUCUACGAAAGUAGAGAUCCGAUCGCAUAAUAGUUCUCACUGCUUUUCAUGAUUAAAAUACUAGUUUUUCCACUUGAUUCGCAUGAUACAUUAUCUCUGCGUUCGACUAAUAUCUUGCAUUGAACAUGACGAAAAAGCUAUGCCGUUUAUAUCAAAUCUAUAAAGCGGACCCCUCUCUCUCCAGAUAAAAUUUUUGAUAGAGUUUUCAAAAUUAAAAAUAUUUUAACAACAAUUUUUUUUUAAUAAUUGCUAGUCACAUGCAGAAAGGAAACAAAUGACAAGUAUUGUCGACACGAAAAAAAAAAACUGUACGGACAAAUAUAUUAAUACGCGCGAGAAGUAAUAAAAACCGCGCACAACAAUAAAUAUAACAGGUUUUUUUUCGUAAAUUCAAUUAAUCCAUUGCGUGGGUAUAUGCGGUUUAACGCGUGCUUUAAAAAUAAUUUACCCCAGGCGCGCCCAAAUCCAACGUCAUGUAACUUUAAAUUAAAAAAUGUACAAAAAGCAA